rnacentral:rRNA from 1 species
AUUGAACGCUGGCGGCAGGCCUAACACAUGCAAGUCGAGCGGUAGAGAGGUGCUUGCAUCUCUUGAGAGCGGCGGACGGGUGAGUAAUGCCUAGGAAUCUGCCUAGUGGUGGGGGGAUAACGUUCGGAAACGGACGCUAAUACCGCAUACGUCCUACGGGAGAAAGCGGGGGGGAUCUUCGGACCUCGCGCCAUUAGAUGAGCCUAGGUCGGAUUAGCUAGUUGGUGAGGUAAUGGCUCACCAAGGCGACGAUCCGUAACUGGUCUGAGAGGAUGAUCAGUCACACUGGAACUGAGACACGGUCCAGACUCCUACGGGAGGCAGCAGUGGGGAAUAUUGGACAAUGGGCGAAAGCCUGAUCCAGCCAUGCCGCGUGUGUGAAGAAGGUCUUCGGAUUGUAAAGCACUUUAAGUU